AUUGAACGCUGGCGGCGUGCUUAACACAUGCAAGUCGAACGAGUGGCGGACGGGUGAGUAAUGCUUGGGAAUCUAGCUUAUGGAGGGGGCUAACUACGGGAAACUGUAGCUAAUCCCGCUUACCAUAGGAUUAGCCCAAGUGGGAUUAGGUAUUUGGUGAGUUAAAGGCUCACCAAGCCGACGAUCUCUAGCUGGUCUGAGAGGAUGACCAGCCACACUGAGACUGAGACACGGCCCAAACUCCUACGGGAGGCAGCAGUGGGGAAUAUUGAGCAAUGGGGGCAACCUGACGGAGCAACGCCGCGUGAGUGAAGAAGGCCCUAGGGUUGUAAAGCACUUUCAGUCGGGAGGCGUUACCGACAGAAGAAGCACCGGCUAACUCCGUGCCAGCAGCCGCGGUAAUAC
rnacentral:rRNA from 1 species